UUUCGGGUUGAUAACUAGGCGGUCUGUUUCGCAAAUCACACAACGCUCGCCCUUUAAGUGCCCGAUAUAUUGAAGCCGGCGAGGAUCUUACAAGUUUCCGAAACUCAUUUUCAUUUCUGUGUUUGGUCUAACCUUUAAAUCCGCGCCACAAAC
rnacentral:snoRNA from 1 species